UGGGGAAUUUUGCACAAUGGAGGAAACUCUGAUGCAGCGACGCCGCGUGAGUGAUGAAGAUCUUCGGAUUGUAAAACUCUGUCCUUAGUGAAGAUAAUGACAGUAACUAAGAAGCAAGCCCUGGCUAAAUACGUGCCAGCAGCCGCGGUAAUACGUAUGGGGCAAGCGUUGUCCGGAAUUAUUGGGCGUAAAGGGUACGUAGGCGGUUUAAUAAGUCCUAAUUAAAAGGCUAUGGCUCAACCAUAGUAUGGUUAGGAAACUGUUGAACUUGAGUAGAGGAGGGGAAAGUGGAAUUCCAUGUGUAGCGGUGAAAUGCGUAGAUAUAUGGAGGAACACCAAUGGCGAAGGCAACUUUCUGGAAUCAAACUGACGCUGAGGUACGAAGGCGUGGGGAGCAAACAGG
rnacentral:rRNA from 1 species